CAUUAGAGAAGCUAAUAUAGCAUUAACCUUUUAAGUUAAAGACUGGGAACAUAGACUUCCCCUCGAUGA
rnacentral:tRNA from 1 species